rnacentral:tRNA from 1 species
GAGGGUAGAGCUCAGUGGUAGAGCCUGUGCUCAGCAUGCAUGAGGUCAUGGGUUCAAUCCCCAGUACCUCCA